rnacentral:snRNA from 1 species
GUGCUUGCUUUGGCAGCACAUAUACUAAAUUGGAAUGAUAACAGAGAAGAUUAGCAUGGCCCCUGUAUAAGUAUGACAUGCAAAUUCAUGAAGUGUUUCAUAUUUUU